UACGAAGGGUGCAAGCGUUACUCGGAAUUACUGGGCGUAAAGCGUGCGUAGGUGGUUUGUUAAGUCUGUUGUGAAAGCCCCGGGCUCAACCUGGGAAUGGCAAUGGAUACUGGCAAGCUAGAGUGCGGUAGAGGGUAGUGGAAUUCCCGGUGUAGCGGUGAAAUGCGUAGAGAUCGGGAGGAAGGCCGGUGGCGAAGGCGGCGCUCUGGAACAUUUCUGACGCUGAGGCUCGAAAGCGUGGGGAGCAAACAGG
rnacentral:rRNA from 1 species